rnacentral:lncRNA from 1 species
AGUACGAUGGUCACGCUAAAGUGCGAUGGUCUACGCUUAAGUGCGAUGCUUCCAUACGCUAAAGUGCGAUGGUUCGCGAAAGGUUAAACGUCCGAAACGUAGUUGGAUUAUGACGUUAACAGUCGUAAAUACAAACCAAAAAUGAACAUGCGGGAAGAUAGAUUAUGAAUAUUUGAUUAACAACUUUUACACCAAAUGUUCAUGAUUUACUAGUUAUUGAUUUAAACUUAACCGUUCUUUGUCGGAUGAGGCACAUUGUUUAUUCUUAUCGUGCUGGAAGAAGGACUUGUAUCUUACAGUCCACCAUUUUACCAUAUAAAUAUAAAAUAGUAUACGCAUACUUAUCCUGCUCAAGUUAUAUUUGAAGCAAACAGAAACAUUUGAAUCAUUGUUUAUGUGGCAGUUUACUUUGCGAUCCCCGUUAAAAUGCUGUCGACUUUGAUGAAAGUAACGUCGGUAAAAUAGAGAUACAUGUUUGCAUGCGUGAAUAAUAAAUUAUUUGC